AUUUCAUAACUACAUUUUGUGUAAUACCACAAUUCAACAAUACCAUCAAUAGAAGGACAUUUUCAUAAAUACAUCAAGCAUUAAUGGGUGAAUUACUAAACUAACCCUUGUUUAUUUUUCUCAACCAUCGUCUUCUUCUUUACUCUGUAAAAAAAUUCUCCGACGAGAACAAAGUGUCUUCUCUCUCACGGCUACGAGCGACGGCGACGAAUGCGACGAGAUCAAGCGAUUGUGACGAGAUCAAGCUACUGCGAGGAGAUCGAGCGACGGCGACGCGAUCGAGCGACGACGACGGGAGACGACGAGAUCGUGCGAAGGGGAAGAGAUCGAGUGUAUUCUCUCUCACAAAGCAAAUGAGAUCGAGACUCAAAAUCUCAAAUUGCCGAAUCCUCAUCAAAAAUCACAAGUUUUCACGAGACUACUCUCAAAAGAAGCGAGUGAUGCUACUGACGAAAUGAUGGAGAAAGAGAUUGCUUUAGCUAAAUUAAUAUAACUUGUUACCUUUUAAGCAGUAAAAGUUUUGUCCUUUUAUGUUGCCAUUCAUGUCUUGCUGUAUGUGUUCA